GUAUCCCAACCUUCUAUUGAGACCGAAAGCUUCAGCAUCCAAAUCUGCACGAGCCAUCAUGAAUGGUCUACUGGGAGCAAACGUCCUUGUGUGGGUCGCCGCUGCUAUAGCUGUGCUCAUCAUGCUUCCCAAUGAAGCUGCUGCUCUUGGAGGCGGGGUUGGAGGAAAUGGAGGAAUUGGCUUUCGCAAGAAGUGAAGCACUGCUCUGAUCAUGCCUGCAGAGACAAACUGAUGAACCAAUCUUUGCUUUUAAUAAAAUGUCGAAAUAGAGACAUUAUCCUGUUCUCCACCUAUAGAGUAAUGAAAAGCGCAGCUUGGUCAAGUAUCGUUUUACAAAUAGAUGAAUCUUAUAUAGCUUUUCAGAAAACUUCGACACAUUUAAAGUGGCCGGAAAUAUUACAUCAGAGCGAAUAUUGCCAAUUAUGCCAGUUCGAGAGCAGUGCGUUUUCUGCGACGCUUCUGGAUGGUAUUGUAGUGGUUAAACC